rnacentral:rRNA from 1 species
CCUACGGGAGGCUGCAGUAGGGAAUCUUCCACAAUGGGCGAAAGCCUGAUGGAGCAACGCCGCGUGGGUGAAGAAGGUCUUCGGAUCGUAAAACCCUGUUGUUAGAGAAGAAAGUGCGUGAGAGUAACUGUUCACGUUUCGACGGUAUCUAACCAGAAAGCCACGGCUAACUACGUGCCAGCAGCCGCGGUAAUACGUAGGUGGCAAGCGUUAUCCGGAUUUAUUGGGGGUAAAGGGAACGCAGGCGGUCUUUUAAGUCUGAUGUGAAAGCCUUCGGCUUAACCGGAGUAGUGCAUUGGAAACUGGUAGACUAGAGUGCAGAAGAGGAGAGUGGAACGCAAUGUGUAGCGGUGAAAUGCGUAGAUAUAUGGCAGAACACCAGUGGCGAAAGCAGCUCUCUGGUCUGUAACUGACGCUGAGGUUCGAAAGCGUGGGUAGCAAACAGGAUUAGAUACCCGGGUAGUC